CUAUCGCCCCUGUAAUGUAGUUUAUGAUAACUACACAUUCUUCAUAGCAGGAAUUAGACAAAUCUAUUUGUAACAAAUGUUCUUUCAGUAAUAUAAGGUUGAAGACAAUAGAACAGAACCAACACACAGACACACAGAUUUUAACUCUGCUUGUUGUUACCAUGGAAGAAUAGUGCAGAGGGUAACAAA